rnacentral:rRNA from 1 species
GAUGAACGCUAGCGGCAGGCUUAAUACAUGCAAGUCGAGGGGCAGCAUGGUGUAGCAAUACACUGAUGGCGACCGGCAAACGGGUGCGGAACACGUACGCAACCUUCCUUCAAGUGAGGAAUAGCCCAGGGAAACUUGGAUUAAUACCUCGUAACAUUGUGAAGUGGCAUCACUUUAUAAUUAUAGCUCAGGCGCUUGAAGAUGGGCGUGCGACUGAUUAGGUAGUUGGCGGAGUAACAGCCCACCAAGCCUGCGAUCAGUAACUGGUGUGAGAGCACGACCAGUCACACGGGCACUGAGACACGGGCCCACUCCUACGGGAGCAGCAGUAAGGAAUAUUGGUCAAUGGACGCAAGUCUGAACCAGCCAUGCCGCGUGGAGGAUGAAGGUCCUCUGGA